rnacentral:rRNA from 1 species
UACGAGUGCCUCAAGCGUUAUCCGGAAUCAUUGGGCGUAAAGGUUGUGUAGGUGGUUUUAUUAGUCUCUUGUUAAAUUCUUCGGCUUAACCGGGGGCAUGCAAGGGAAACGGUAAAACUAGAGGAUGCGAGGGGUCUGUGGAAUUCAUAGUGUAGCGGUAAAAUGCGUUGAUAUUAUGGAGAACACCAAAAGCGAAGGCAG